UACGUAGGGCCCGAGCAUUAUCCGGAAUUAUUGGGCGUAAAGAGCGUGUAGGUGGCCAUACAAGUCGGUCGUUAAAUCUCAGAGCUCAACUCUGAGACCGCGAGCGAUACUGCAUGGCUUUAGAGGUUUGCAGGGGCUAGCAGAAUUUCUGGAGUAGGGGUGAAAUCCGUUGACACCAGAAGGAAUACCAAUGGCGAAGGCAGCUAGCUGGGCAACACCUGACACUGAGACGCGAAAGCGUGGGGAGCGAACGGG
rnacentral:rRNA from 1 species